rnacentral:rRNA from 1 species
CCUACGGGAGGCAGCAGUAGGGAAUCUUCCACAAUGGACGAAAGUCUGAUGGAGCAACGCCGCGUGAGUGAAGCAGGGUUUCGGCUCGUAACGCUCUGUUGGUAGUGAAGAAAGAUAGAGGUAGUAACUGGCCUUUCUUUGACGUUAAUUACCUAGCAAGUCACGGCUAACUACGUGCCAGCAGCCGCGGUAAUACGUAGGUGGCAAGCGUUGUCCGGAUUUAUUGGGCGUAAAGCGAGUGCAGGCGGUUCAGUAAGUCUGAUGUGAAAGCCUUCGGCUCAACCGGAGAAUUGCAUCGGAAACUGGUGGACUUGAGUGCAGAAGAGGAAAGUGGAACUCAAUGUGUAGCGGUGGAAUGCGUAGAUAUAUGGAAGAACACCAGUGGCGAAGGCGGCUCUCUGGUCUGCAACUGACGCUGAGGCUCGAAAGCAUGGGUAGCGAACAGGAUUAGAUACCCGUGUAGUC